AAUGAUUAAUAGGGCAUAGUUGGGGGCAUUGGUAUUGAGUCGCUAGCAGGUGAAAUUCUUGGCAUUGACUCAAGUACUCGACUAUUGCAGAAAGUCAUUUGACGCAAGGAUGUUUUCAUUAAUCAANAACNAANGUUANGGGAUCGAAAACGAUCNGAUACCGUUGUAGUCUUAACAGCUAAACUAUGCCGACUAGGGAUCGGGCGACCUCAAUUAUGAUGUGUCNCUCGGCACCUUACGARAAAUYGAAGUCUUUGRGUUCUGGGGGGUAUGUAUGGGUCUGCAAGGCUGAAACUUAAAGGAAUUGWCGGAAGGGCACCACCAGGUGUGGAGCCUGCGGCUUAAUUUGACUCAACACGGGGAAACUCACCASGUCCAGACAUAACURGGAUUGACAGAUUGAUAGCUCUUUCAUGAUUUUAUGGGUGGUGGUGCRUGGCCGUUCUUASWUGGUGGAGUGAUUYGCUCUGGUUAAUUCCGAUAACGAACGAGWSCUUAACCUGCUAAAUAGCCAGGCCGGCUUUCGCUGGUCGCCGGCUUCUUAGAGGGACUGUCAGCGUCUAGCUGACGGAAGUUUGAGGCAAUAACAGGUCUGUGAUGCCCUUAGAUGUUCUCGGGCCGCACGCGCGCUACACUGACAGAGCCAGCGAGUUUUUUUUCCGGGCCGGAAGGUCCAGGGUAANCCAGNGAAUANU
rnacentral:rRNA from 1 species